rnacentral:rRNA from 1 species
CAGCACCUCAAGUGGUCAGGAUGAUUAUUGGGCCUAAAGCAUCCGUAGCCGGCGCUGUAAGUUUUCGGUUAAAUCUGUACGCUCAACGUACAGGCUGCCGGGAAUACUGCAGCGCUAGGGAGUGGGAGAGGUAGACGGUACUCGGUAGGAAGGGGUAAAAUCCUUUGAUCUAUUGAUGACCACCUGUGGCGAAGGCGGUCUACCAGAACACGUCCGACGGUGAGGAUGAAAGCUGGGGGAGCAAACCGGAUUAGAUACCCGAGUAGUCC